rnacentral:rRNA from 1 species
GCAAGGAAUAUUGGGCAAUGGCCGCAAGGCUGACCCAGCGACGCCGCGUGGGGGACGACGGCCUUCGGGUUGUAAACCCCUUUUCUGUGGGAAGAAGAUGACGGUACCGCAGGAAGAAGCCCCGGCUAACUACGUGCCAGCAGCCGCGGUAAUACGUAGGGGGCGAGCGUUGUCCGGAAUUACUGGGCGUAAAGCGCGCGUAGGUGGCGGUCUAAGAUUGAUGUGAAAUCCCCGGGCUCACCUCGGGGGGGACGUUGAUGACUGGGGCGCUAGGGUUCCGCAGAGGCGGGUGGAAUUCCCGGUGGAGCGGUGAAAUGCGUAGAGAUCGGGAGGAACACCAGUGGCGAAGGCGGCCCGCUGGGCGGGAACCGACGCUGAGGCGCGAAAGCGUGGGGAGCGAACCGGAUUAGAUACCCCUGUAGUCC